rnacentral:tRNA from 1 species
GGGCCCGUAGCUCAGCCGGUAGAGCGCCGCCUUUGCAAGGCGGAGGCAGCGAGUUCGAGUCUCGCCGGGUCCACCA